rnacentral:rRNA from 1 species
GAUGAACGCUGGCGGCGUGCCUAAUACAUGCAAGUCGUACGGAAAGGCCCUUCGGGGUACUCGAGUGGCGGACGGCUGAGUAACGCGUGGGAACGUGCCCCAAAGUGAGGGAUAACGCACCGAAAGGUGCGCUAAUACCGCAUAUGGUCUUCGGAUUAAAGCUUCGGCGCUUUGGGAGCGGCCCGCGUACGAUUAGAUAGUUGGUGAGGUAAUGGCUCACCAAGUCGACGAUCGUUAGCUGGUCUGAGAGGAUGAUCAGCCAGACUGGGACUGAGACACGGCCCAGACUCCUACGGGAGGCAGCAGUAAGGAAUCUUCCACAAUGGGGGCAACCCUGAUGGAGCAACGCCGCGUGCAGGAUGAAGGUUUUCGGAUCGUAAACUGCUUUUAUAAGUGAAGAAUAUGACGGUAACUUAUGAAUAAGGAUCGGCUAACUACGUGCCAGCAGCCGCCGUAAGAC